GCGCACCAGUCGCGAAUACUUUACAAUGCGGGAAACCGCGAUAAGGGGACACCGAGUGCCAGCAUAUUAUGUUGGCUGUCCACAUGUGUAAACGGCAUGUGUUAGCAAGGGCCGGGCAAGACCGGUGCCAGCCGCCGCGGUAACACCGGCGGCCCGAGUGGUAAUCACUUUUAUUGGGUCUAAAGGGUCCGUAGCCGGUUUGAUCAGUUCUUCGGGAAAUCUGACAGCUCAACUGUUAGGCUUCCGGGGAAUACUGUCAGACUUGGGACCGGGAGAGGUAAGAGGUACUACAGGGGUAGGAGUGAAAAGUCUUGUAAUCCCUGUGGGACCACCAGUGGCGAAGGCGUCUUACCAGAACGGGUCCGACGGUGAGGGACGAAAGCUGGGGGCACGAACCGGAUUAGGAUACCGGGU
rnacentral:rRNA from 1 species